GCUUUAAACUUACACUAAACUAACCCUCCAUGUGUGCUUUAUAGAUAUACAGCCACAUGUUCAUUGGAUGAGGAGCAAUAGAUGGAGCAAAUGUUCUUCAGACAAGACAAGAAUUGUGAUAAGUUCUGAAUUCCAGUUUCUUGAAUAAAGAUACUUCCCUGCCUUCCAUCCCAAGCAUAUUUCAAC
rnacentral:lncRNA from 12 species